UACAGAGGUCCCAAGCGUUGUUCGGAUUUACUGGGCGUAAAGGGUGCGUAGGUGGCGGGGUAAGUCUGGUGUGAAAGCUCCGAGCUCAACUCGGAAAAGCAUUGGAAACUAUCCCGCUGGAGGGUCGGAGGGGAGACUGGAAUUCUCGGUGUAGCAGUGAAAUGCGUAGAUAUCGAGAGGAACACCAGUGGCGAAGGCGAGUCUCUGGACGACUCCUGACACUGAGGCGCGAAGGCCAGGGGAGCAAACGGG
rnacentral:rRNA from 1 species